CUGCUAAACAUGAUGUCGUUCCGAAGUGGUUCCCAGGGAGGAGGGAGGGGGUGCUUUGCUUGCAAAAUUCCCCUUUAUACCUUUCACAUUUACAAAAAACUUCCAGUUAUUAUACCUUCUUCAGUUCCUCCCAAUUUUUGGGAGCCUAAACCAGGAGAGAAGCUUACAGAAACUUCUAUACAGAUAGCGGGCAGGAUCAUAACCCUGCGCACAACUAGAAAAUCUUACAUUUUUUGAUCUUGUUCAAGUUAGUAACAACUUACAGCUGGUUGCCAACUCUAAGAAACUUGAAACAAACAUUAAAAGUUAUAGGCUUUCCUGGAAAUACGGAGACAGCGAACUAAGCCUUUUUGGAACAAAAAUUGUUGUUAUAGCGAAUUGCGAUCCUAUACCGAAGCAGUUACUAACAAAGCUUAGAGAUGUAAAAAUCGCUUCUUGAAAAUUCUUGUUUCCUCAAAUUUUAUUAAUAUUUUACGUGUUCGGUCUAAAAUAGUAGGUGAAAUUAGGAAAAUUUUGAAAAUAAUUUUGUAGAGGGAGAACUCAGGUGCUUUCUCUUACAGCCACUGGAGCAUUUGAAAGCCGUUUGUAACUAAAUUUUCUAGUUCAGAUAGGAAACUCUUCUUGCAGAUCGCUCCCGAAAUUUUUUUUAAGACUCUUGUGGUUGGCGGUUUUGAACGAGUUUACGAAUUUGAAAAACUAUUUAGAAAUGAAGGGUUUAGUCACCGCACUAUCCAGCGAAUUUUAUGAAGCAUAUGCAAAUGUGAAAGUGCUGUGGUUCGCACGAAAGCGUUGUUUCGCCCCUUGCCCCGAAGAUCCGCGUGCGAGAAAAGCUGUUAUUCACGACUUUUCAAAGCCAUUUUCGAGUGUCCACGUGUUUAAGACCUUUUUUGGAAAAACGAGACUUUCUGCGGAUAUGUUCGAUAAAAAUUAUUAUUUAUUUAUUACUCUUUUUAGUAUACUUGUAGUGUUUUUAAUAUUAAUACGCUUUGAGUAAUUAUUACUUAAAAAAAUUCUUAUUUUUUUAAUUUCAUA